rnacentral:rRNA from 1 species
AACGAACGCUGGCGGCAUGCCUAACACAUGCAAGUCGAACGAGACCUUCGGGUCUAGUGGCGCACGGGUGCGUAACGCGUGGGAACCUGCCCUUAGGUUCGGAAUAACUCCCCGAAAGGGGUGCUAAUACCGGAUAAUGCCUUCGGACCAAAGAUUUAUCGCCUUUGGAUGGGCCCGCGUUGGAUUAGCUAGUUGGUAGGGUAAAAGCCUACCAAGGCGACGAUCCAUAGCUGGUCUGAGAGGAUGAUCAGCCACACUGGGACUGAGACACGGCCCAGACUCCUACGGGAGGCAGCAGUGGGGAAUAUUGGACAAUGGGCGAAAGCCUGAUCCAGCAAUGCCGCGUGAGUGAUGAAGGCCUUAGGGUUGUAAAGCUCUUUUACCCGGGAUGAUAAUGACAGUACCGGGAGAAUAAGCGCCGGCUAACUCCGUG